rfam:Picea glauca, whole genome shotgun sequence.
AGGGUGCUAGCUCAAUGGAAGAGCACCUACCUUACAAGUCGUACAUUGGUGGUUCAAUUCCUUCGUGCCCUA